rnacentral:lncRNA from 1 species
GAGGGGGAGGGGGAGGGCAAAACCCUGAACUACACCUGCCUCCAGAGGGUGUGCCAUUCCUCAGUCUGGCCCGCCCUUCCUAAGCCCCAGCAAAGGGGCAGGGUCUCUGCUCACCAUUGAGUCUCAGGAGUGUCUAUGGGAGAAUGUAAGACGCUUUUGGAGAAAGCCCUAUACUGAAAGGGUCCCUCUGCCCUUCAUUCACCUCUGUG